rnacentral:rRNA from 1 species
AACGGCCAUACCAUGCUGAAUAUACCGGUUCUCGUUAGAUCACCGAAGUCAAGCAUCAUUGGGCGCGAUCAGUACUUGGGUGGGUGACCACCUGGGAACCCCGCGUGCCGUU